UCCUUUUCUUCUUUUUUUUUUCUCUCUUUCUUCUCUCAUCUUCCUUGUCUCUCUUCUGCAAUUUCACCAUUAACACUCAUCUCUUUGUUGUUUUCAUCUCCUUAUUUCUCCAUCUGGAUGGAAAAGAAAAAAAUAUAGUUCUUGAUAGCUGAAAAUAAUUCUUUGAUUGGAAUUUAUUUUCUUGAAGAGACAUUAACUAGCACCUUUUUCUCCCUCAAACUGACAUUGAAAAAUUUUCUUCUUUGGUAGAAUAAGAUUUGAAUAACCAAAAGUCCGAACAACCAGCAAUGGUAUCAAUUACCGUCGAAGGAUUCAGCCCACAAAAAAAACAGCAAAUUAUACGUUCAGUUUUGAUAUGGUUUCAAUAUGCUAUGAGGAGAAUAAGAAGUUGUCCAAUUUGGCUAUUUCAUUCUGCAGUUUGUAGUGGUCACAAGGCAUCAAGUGUGAAGCUUUUUCUAUGUUAAGCUUUGGCUAUAGUUUUAGACUAGUUUUUUUUUACGUAUUCUAUGUUAUUCAUUCUAGAUCAAUGUGUAAUAUCAAAAUAAAGUAUCAAAAUGCUCUAUUUCAUAAUAGGUCUUAUGCAAGUUUUGGACUUUCAGCUAUUAUACUGUCUUCAUGUAAGACUAUAUUUUCAAAAAUAUAAAAAAAUUAACCCUAGGAAUUAUGCCUAGCAAAUAUGCGGUUAAAAAAAUAAUGGGCCGAAAAAUAUUAUCUACAUAUUGUCGGUAAGCUCUCAAUGAGCUCUAUAAAAGCCCUAAGAUUUCCCGCAAAAACUAGGCAUUUACAUACAUGAUAUAUUGCAAAAAUGAUUCAAAACUACAUACUAAACCCUAGUUUGCAUGUAUUGCAUAUAAAUCACGUAAACAACAGGAACACAAAUCUAUGGCUCUGAUACUAAUGAUAUAUUUAACCGUAAAAUACCAGUUUCAAAGAUUAUGGUUUCUCCUUUGCAAAAGCGGAUCUGCAAUAAGCACAACUUGUGUCACCGGUCGUUGAGAAUCCUCACAAAGAGGAUUAACUCCCUCUAUCCACACCUUACUAAUCCUCACAGAUAGAUCUUGUUUUAUAUAAAAAUCCUAGUCAUUUCUAUUAUAACGAAAAAGUCACAUCUUAAACACUCAUAAUGGUGUUUAUAUAGGCUAUCUCUAGGAUUUUAUGUGGAGAAAUAAAUAAUGGGCUCAUGGGCUAUCUAACACCCCUUAUGGGUGGAUCCGACCCAAUAAUAUUCUUCCAAUAGAAAAAAACCAUGAUCAAAUUAUCCAAGCAUCACAGAAUUAAACAAACAAUAAAAUAAAUAAUGAGUCUUAAGUUUACAAUAGUUUUACCACAAGGCAGCACUUGUAGACCCUAACAAAGGAGGAAACCUAGGAAGAAAAUAAGAAAUAAUUUAUUUACGUGCGAAUGUUAGAUACCGAUGGGGCAGUCAAAGCAUCAACUAAUAAUGUUGGGCUUGGGGGGGUGUUCAGAGAUACAAAUGGGGAUUGGGUGAUGGGCUAUGCGGGAAACUAUCCCAAAACAAACGUCACUAACAUAGAACUCAUGGCACUGUUUCGAGGAUUACAACUAGCAGCAGCUCACAACCUGACACCACUACAAAUUCACAUGGACGCCAAAGAGAUCCCUGAUCCAGACUCCAGACACUGAGUGAUACGACCAUAGUCUACGCUUACAGAGAGCGGAACACAGUAGUUGAUAGACUAGCAUAUUUUGGAAUGGAAAUGAUGGGCAGCAAUAUCACCUUUUUGCCAACUCCACCAAACUUUCUAUGGGAAGAUCUGCUUGAAGAUAAAUGGGGAUGCUGCAGACUUGGGCACAUUUCUACAACCAAUCCUACAACAGGAUCACCAGUAGCUUUUUGUAACUCUUUUGUUGUAGCUUCUGAUAGUAAUAACAACAAAAAAACAUCCUUUUUGUAAUAGAGAAGUAGCUCAACAUGGUGCUCAUCAUCUACCUGCCAACAGCAAUAGUAGUGUUGUUCCAACUUUUUGUAUAACUGCAUCUAAGCAGAUGCUCCCUGCAUUCCAUCUUUAAUUCAUCUUUAAUUAA